rnacentral:lncRNA from 1 species
UUUUUUCUAUUAGUAAACGUGAAAACUCAAAGUCUAAACUGAUUUGUGUUAACUGUCGUCCAAUGUUAUGACUUUCUUGGUUUUGUAACCUUAUGUUAUAAUUACACAGUCUUUUUUUUUAGAUGUCAUGGUAUUAAUUGAUAUAUGACUACAAUAUUCCAAACUCUGCAUACAAUCAUAUUUCUACCCUGUUUUCAUAUACCAUGACACAGCAUUAAAACUCUGCAAACCAGUGCUUGGCAUGGAGCUCUUCAAAUCAUAAGAGUGAAUGAGGCACAGAAAUGUCAUGACAUGAUUGUCAUACUUCAUGAAACGAGUAUUAUAAUUGUCACAAUAUGAUUAUCUAAGGUAGUGAAGAAGCCAAAAUACCAGAUACAAUUACACCAAUAACAUAAAAUCUCCUUAGGCCAAGUUUGGUCAAAUCCAGUUCCAAAUGACCUCAGAGGAAGGAAACCUAGCUAAAGGAAUGACCGUUCUUGUUCUAUAAACGGGACAUGAAAUAUGGUUAUCAGUUAUGUGACUAAGUGAUACCUGUGAUUAUCCGUUAAGUGACUAAAGAUUGAACCACCAAAUAUCAAGCAAAAGAAGCCAUUAAAGAGUCCUAAGCUGUGACUCCUUGAAGGCAGGAGCUCUAUUUGACUGUCUUAUCUUUCUAUUCAACAUAUCAUCACAUACGUAUGUGGUUGUGCAAGUCCCUGAAAAUAUUUUUGAAUUGAUUGAUAGCAUUAUGUAACUGAUCAGCCUGCUCAGAGCAGAAGUUCUUUCAAUUAGCCAAAGCCACAGUAUUACUAUUGGCAAUCUCCAUCUUUCAAUAAUAAUAUGAAAAUUCAGGAUUACUAGUUACUGGUACUAUUUGCACCUUGAAUCCUCUGGGAAAAUGAAACUGUAUAAAUAAAUGCGUAAUUAAAUAAAGUCAGGAAGUUAUAGGUGCUUCACAUAUUAUUAAUUGGCUUCUCUCCAAAAUUCUAGGUUACCAAAAGCUAUUCCUUUGUCUAUAUGUAAACAGGUAGAAACAUAGACAGAAGGUGAUGUUCAUAGACUAAGAAAAUGAGAGACAAAUCCGAGGUAUAUUUGGACCAUGAAUUAGAGUUGGAAAGUGGAAAGAAAUUUCAGAGAGAGAGAGAAAGAGAGAGACUGCUCUUGAUGAGUUGAAUUUUUAGACUCCUCAUUUCUGCAUCCAUGGAUUUUUUUUUUUUCCCCCAUGAUUUUCCCUUCCUUCCUCUAAUUCACAUAGUCUUCUCUCUGGGCAAAGCUCUAGGGACAAUCAUGGGAAAGAAAACUCCCUAAGACUCACCCCUUCCCUCAGGUGAUUUUUAUAAAAGUUGGCAGGCACUCCUUAUGACAGAAGAGUCACAUACACCAUGGGCAGGUGAAGAGGAUAUGAAUUCGCAGUGCUACACUCUGUUCCCAUCCCACAGAUUACUUUUGUAGCUGUAGCUCAUGGAGCCUAAUUUGCGAUAAAUCAAUAAUUUUCUGAAUUACGAAUUCUCCAGUCUGGAUUGUAAUUUAAAAAUUGAAAUACUCUAUAAUUGAAUUUUUGUCACAUCCACACGGGGACUUACUUAACAAAGGGGAUGUUGUUCUGCUUUUUAUCUACCUACCUACCUACCUGUUUAUGUUUUCUACCUAUAGCCUAAAACAUUUUCUUAUAAGAGUGGAUAUGAUGUAUUUUUUUCCUUUUUUGGCCUUGCCCAUGGCAUAUGGGAGUUCCUGGGCCAGGGGUUAAUCUAAGCUACAUCUGUGACCCAGGCCACAGCUGUGGCACACAGGAAACAUAACCCACUGUGCUGGGCUGAGGAUCAAACCAACUGCAGUGUCAUAGAGACAAGCUAAAUCAUUAACCGAUUGCACCACAGCAGGGACCCCAAGAUGUUUCUGAGAAAAGAAAUAGGUAAAUAAAUUUUAAAAAUGGAGAAAAAAAACACUUAAUAGUUUCUUAAAUUUGAGUGAUUGUUUAAGCUUUAAAUUAUCUGCAUGUAUAUCCUGUAUUUAAAAAAAAAAAUCAAUGCUUUUAUGCAACAUGUUUUCCUGGAUUGGAUCCUGGAGCUGAAAAAAGACAUGUAUUAAAAACUAGGAGAAAUCAAAUAAGUCUGUAGCUUAGUUGAUAAUAAUUUAUCAGUGUUAAUUUCUUUGUUGUAAUAAAUGUACUAGGAUCAGGUAACAUAUUAACAUUAGGGGCAGCUGGGAGAAGGGUUUUGGGAACUCUGUACUACCUUUGUAACUUUUCUGUAGAUCUAAAUUUAUUCCAAAAUAAAAAGCUUCUUUAAAAAUAAUUAAUACUUUUUAAAUUCUUCCAUUAUGAAGCUAUUUAAUAUUGGCUGUCCUGCCUCCCAAAAUGCUGAACUCUUGAAAGCAGGACCCAUUUCUAAUUAGCACUGAAUUAUCUUUAUCUAGAUCUUAUUAUCAACACUUGGUAAAUACACUCUUGAUAGCAGGUGAUAUAUAUUUCAUUGUACAUAUUUAUGUUAUGAUCAGCAUGUAAAAACUUGACCAUGUAUUAGAAUAUUAGAAAUUACUGAGCAUUGUAUUGCCAACUCUGCAGGAAGAUUUAAGACAUAUUUUAGUGCUUCUUAAGAAGCCAGCUCUAAGUACUUACUCAGGAAAUGGGUGACGUAUUUCAGAUGGAAACAGAAAAGUUAUUUAAAAAGAAAAUUCUGGAGUGCCCAUCGUGGCGCAGUGGUUAACGAAUCCGACUGGGAACCAUGAGGUUGCGGGUUUGGUCCCUGCCCUUGCUCAGUGGGUUAAUGAUCCGGUGUUGCCGUGAACUGUGGUGUAGGUUGCAGAUGCGGCUUGGAUCCCACGUUGCUGUGGCUCUGGCGUAGGCCGGUGGCUACAGCUCCGAUUAGACCCCUAGUCUGGGAACCUCCAUAUGCCGCGGGGAGCGGCCCAAAGAAAUAGCAAAAAGCCAAAAAGCCAAAAAAAAAAAAAAAAAGAAAAUUCUGAAGGAAAUUCUCAAAUAACAACAACUAAUCAAAAUGGAGUUUAUUAUUAAAAAUAGAAAGAUUACUUUAGUUGGCAGGGGACUUCCACUCAGUCUCAAAGAGGCUGGCUCAAGGGUUAAUGAUUGGAAGAAUGUGAACAUGCAGUAACAAAGAAUAAAGGUUGGGCCAGGGGAAAUGAUAACAAUUCAAACAGUAAGUCAGCCAUAUAACAGAGUCACAGAGUCUUUAGGUUCUCCCUGAAGGACAUAGAUAAUGUCUGACACACCUUCCCAAGUUGUUUUUAUAGAGAACAGACUCCUACCACAUGGAAACUGCUGACCACAAGCAUGUAAACACCAGACCUACUAGAAUUGGAAGACUAUUGACGGAGACUCCCAAAAUAUCACUUAAUUACCUCACCAUCAACCAAUCAGAGGAUUGUGCAUGAGCUGAUCACACAUGCUGUGACCCUCUCCAUACACUGUCUUUCAAAACCCUUCCCUUAAAGCUGUCUGGGAGUUAGGUUCUUUCAAGUACAGGCUGUCAGUUCUCUUUGCUUGGUAUCCUGCAAUAAACAUUCUACUUUCCUUCACCACAACCCAGUGUUAAUAGAUAGGCUUUGCUGCAUAAUGGGGGAGUAGUCCCAAGUUUGGUUGGUAACAGGUACAUUUAGCAUAUUAGAGUCAGCCCUCCAUAUCCAUCAUCAGAUUCAAACACCACAGAUCAAAAUAUUUUUAAAAAUCCAGAAAGUUCCAAAAAGCAAAUUUUGAAUUUGCCACACACCAGCAACUAUUUACCUAGCAUUUACAUUGUAUUAGGUAUUGUAAGUAAUCUAGAGAUGAUUUAAUGUAAAAAGAAGGAUAUGCCUAGGUUAUAAGCAAACACUAUACCAUUUUACAAAAAGGACUUGAGCAUACGUAGAGUUUUUUAUGUCUGCAGCAGGGUUUGGAGGGGGUGGGAGCGUGUCUUGGAACCAAACAUUUGUGGAUACCAAGGGACAAUUGUAUGUGUCUAAAAUCUGCUGUAAUAAGAAAAUCUCAUAAAUCUUUCACUUAGUAUUGAGGUAUUUCUGCUUCCCUUGCUUCUGUCUUCGGGUGAAGUGUUUUCAGACAUUAUACUAUAAAUUGGAGUUGUAUGUGUGUAGAGGUUUUGCAAAUCAAAUAUUUUGUUAGUCACCAGCUCUCAAGGAGCUAGUAUGUGCUUUAGUAUGGCAACCUAGAUUGUAUUGCCACUAAAAUCUGUAGUAUUUUUUCAACUGUCUUGUCAAUUAGACUAGAAACCUCAUAGGAUACAAGCAUAUUUUAAACAGAUAAUGCUGCCAUUAACAUAAAAAAUAAGGCACUCCAUAUUCAAGAGGAAGAAACUGAAGAAUACAGUUACAAAUAUA